UUCUCUUUCACGCUUUUACGGAAUAAACAAGAAGCUUCACAAUGUACAAAAUACUUGGGGAAAAUAUCGUAACCUACACAUCAUGGCGUACAGACCUUCAUUAAAUAUUUGUUUCGAUAUGAAUUAAUGCGACAGCUGAAGCAAGUUUGGUGGUUUGAGAGGUAAGCCUCUUUGCCUCGAUGGCUUAAGGGGCCCUGCUCAAAAUAUACUGAGGUGCACAGGAAGCUUCCAGCGGGACCAAGAAUAGGAUUGUGGUUCAAAUAAACAUGUUGGCUCUCUGUGGAUUAUA